AGCGAGCUCACAAAUUUCACCUCUAGCCGCUCCUGCACUACGCGAACGAAGACCGACGACCGCCACGCUUAUGGUUGCUUCCUCCAGUUCGCUCCUCCCGCCUGGCCUCCGCCUCCGCCCCCGCCCCAGCGUGGUCUCGUAGCCCGUCUCCGGCGAUCGCGGACAUGGCGGCGGCGGUGCAGCACCGGGGGCACUCGGCGUGGCAGGUGAUGGCGGUGUGGCUCGGGUUCCUCCUGCAGAUCCUGCUCCAGGCCUUCCGCCGCUCGUCCUCCUCCGUGGCGCGGCUCCUCUCGUUCCUCGGCCUUCGCCGCCCCCUCCUCUCCGCCGCCCCCGCGGUGACCUUCGUGCAGCUCCCCUCCGAGGCCCCCGCUGACGAGCUGCCUCCGCCGCCGCCCCCAUAUCCGCCGCUCGGGCGGCUCACGGUAGUGCUGGACUUGGAUGAAACAUUAGUCUGUGCAUACGAGUCAUCAAGCCUUCCUGCUACUGUGCACGCCCAGGCUAUUGAAGCAGGGUUGCAUUGCUUUGACAUGGAGUGCAUAUCAUCUGAUAAGGCAAGCAGACGGCCAUCUCUGCUUCUUUUUGGUACCAUAUUGAUGUUUUAGUUUACUUCUCACUUUCUCAAGGUACUUAUAUGAACUUGUACUUGUUGGCGUAAGGGAUGCUGAUGGCAGACGGAGGGUGAAUCAUGUAACUGUCUUUGAGCGCCCUGGUUUGCAUGCAUUUUUGCAGCAAACUACUGAAUUUGCCGAUCUUAUACUCUUUACCGCUGGUUUGGAAGGAUACGCAAGGCCUUUGGUUGACAGGAUAGAUGCUCACAACAGGUUCUGUCACCGUCUCUACAGACCAUCAACUGUUACUACAGAGCAUGUAAAGGAUCUUUCUUGUUUGUCCAAAGAUUUCCGUAGAAUUCAUUGUCGAUAACAAUCCAUACAGCUUCCUACUGCAGCCACUGAAUGGGAUACCUUGUCUUACCUUUUCAGCCGGACAACCCAUGGAUGAUCAGCUUAUGGGAGUGGUAUUUCCCCUUCUCAAGCACCUUUCUCUUCAAAAGGAUGUCAGACCGGCACUGUAUGAUACAUUUCAUAUGCCAGAGUGGUUCCAAAGACAUGGGAUCCCUCAAAUUGUUCAGGCAGCGUAAGUUUUUGCAGCGACUGCAUUGGAUUAUCCGGUGAAGGCUCAAAAGCGGGCUGCUCUUGUGGGGAGUACACUUGUACAUUAUAUAUUCAUUUAGGUACUUUGGUACGAGCCAUUGUUCAACACUGAAGGACCAAACCAAAGACAAGAUGAAAAAUGUAAUUUAGAUUUGAGAAAGUAUUUGUCAGUUCAGAUAAUCUUACUGACAAUUUUACCUAUGAGGGAGUAAAGUUCUGCAAAGUUUGGUCAAGGAUCUCCAUCAAUGAUUUACCUAGUACCUCCAUAACCCAUACACAUUUGUGACCUUAGAACGGCUUGUUGAAGCUAUAAUUGAUCCGCUCAUUCGUUAUUUCUGUCA